UACUUGGAAAGGUGCCAUUCAAUAAAUUACAUUAUGAAGUGCGCCUUCCUGAGUAGA
rnacentral:pre_miRNA from 1 species